rnacentral:rRNA from 1 species
UACAGAGGGCCCAAGCGUUGUUCGGAUUUACUGGGCGUAAAGGGUGCGUAGGCGGUCGGGCAAGUCUGAUGUGAAAUCUCACAGCUUAACUGUGAAACUGCAUUGGAUACUAUCCGGCUCGAGGAAUGGAGGGGAGACUGGAAUACUUGGUGUAGCAGUGAAAUGCGUAGAUAUCAAGUGGAACACCAGUGGCGAAGGCGAGUCUCUGGACAUUUCCUGACGCUGAGGCACGAAAGCCAGGGGAGCAAACGGG